rnacentral:rRNA from 1 species
GAUGAACGCUGGCGGCGUGCCUAAUACAUGCAAGUCGAGCGAACGGACGAGAAGCUUGCUUCUCUGAUGUUAGCGGCGGACGGGUGAGUAACACGUGGAUAACCUACCUAUAAGACUGGGAUAACUUCGGGAAACCGGAGCUAAUACCGGAUAAUAUUUUGAACCGCAUGGUUCAAAAGUGAAAGACGGUCUUGCUGUCACUUAUAGAUGGAUCCGCGCUGCAUUAGCUAGUUGGUAAGGUAACGGCUUACCAAGGCAACGAUGCAUAGCCGACCUGAGGGGGUGAUCGGCCACACUGGAACUGAGACACGGUCCAGACUCCUACGGGAGGCAGCAGUAGGGAAUCUUCCGCAAUGGGCGAAAGCCUGACGGAGCAACGCCGCGUGAGUGAUGAAGGUCUUCGGAUCGUAAAACUCUGUUAUUAGGGAAGAACAUAUGUGUAAGUAACUGUGCACAUCUUGACGGUACCUAAUCAGAAAGCCACGGCUAACUACGUGCCAGCAGCCGCGGUAAUACGUAGGUGGCAAGCGUUAUCCGGAAUUAUUGGGCGUAAAGCGCGCGUAGGCGGUUUUUUAAGUCUGAUGUGAAAGCCCACGGCUCAACCGUGGAGGGUCAUUGGAAACUGGAAAACUUGAGUGCAGAAGAGGAAAGUGGAAUUCCAUGUGUAGCGGUGAAAUGCGCAGAGAUAUGGAGGAACACCAGUGGCGAAGGCGACUUUCUGGUCUGUAACUGACGCUGAUGUGCGAAAGCGUGGGGAUCAAACAGGAUUAGAUACCCUGGUAGUCCACGCCGUAGACGAUGAGUGCUAAGUGUUAGGGGGUUUCCGCCCCUUAGUGCUGCAGCUAACGCAUUAAGCACUCCGCCUGGGGAGUACGACCGCAAGGUUGAAACUCAAAGGAAUUGACGGGGACCCGCACAAGCGGUGGAGCAUGUGGUUUAAUUCGAAGCAACGCGAAGAACCUUACCAAAUCCUGACAUCCUUUGACAACUCUAGAGAUAGAGCUUUCCCCUUCGGGGGACAAAGUGACAGGUGGUGCAUGGUUGUCGUCAGCUCGUGUCGUGAGAUGUUGGGUUAAGUCCCGCAACGAGCGCAACCCUUAAGCUUAGUUGCCAUCAUUAAGUUGGGCACUCUAAGUUGACUGCCGGUGACAAACCGGAGGAAGGUGGGGAUGACGUCAAAUCAUCAUGCCCCUUAUGAUUUGGGCUACACACGUGCUACAAUGGACAAUACAAAGGGCAGCGAAACCGCGAGGUCAAGCAAAUCCCAUAAAGUUGUUCUCAGUUCGGAUUGUAGUCUGCAACUCGACUACAUGAAGCUGGAAUCGCUAGUAAUCGUAGAUCAGCAUGCUACGGUGAAUACGUUCCCGGGUCU